CGAAGCCACGUCGUAACAAGGGGUAGCACGUGCUAUCACUUUUAUAAAAAAAAUCGGAAAACAAAACCUAAGCUAACCUAAACGUGCCUUGACUCUUGCACCGUUCUUCCUCCUUCUCUCUCAAACGGUCAGACCCUCUACUCAUUGUCUCUCUUAGUCUCUCUCGUACCUCACCUCUCCUUUUCGCUUCACUUACCAGCAAGUGGUGAAGGCUUUGUAGCACCUCGUCUUUGCCGCUUCGACUUCGAUCUUCGUCUGGUCAGUGCUGAAGGAUUUGCGCCAUUCUUCGACUAUGCGUCCUUCUUCGCUGCAUAAUUUGAAGUCAUUCUUCGCAGCUGAUUAGCACAUAGUGAGACAAACCACGCUAAAGCCUUCCGCCACCACUUCCGUUCGUGUGAUUGUGGAUCUGAGUUCGGUGAGUCAAAGGUUCAAGUCUCGCCAUUAACGGAUUCGCGCACUUUAAAGAUUAAUCGGUAUGCUCACAUCAUUCGUAAGGCCCAAAAUCAUAUCCUAUUCGAGAUGGAUGGGUGUAACUGAUGCAACAAUCUGGCAGAAAGAGAAGGAAAAACUACAGGUAAAGCAAGUAAGCAACAUCAACAAACAAGUGAUAAUUUUUCGUUUUUCAGAUGUAUAAUUUUUUGAUUUUUGUUUUGAUUAAUGUUUGAUAACACGUUUAUAUACUCAUUUUUAUGUGAUAUAUUUGUGUGUUUCCAUUAUAUUUUUCCCAUAUAUUUAAUCUCUUAGAGCUAUUAUUCUUUACUUUUCGCUAUUGCUCUUCUCGGGUGUAUUUGUUUUAUUUUUGUAGGAUUAUGGCGUUUAUGGGAGUUGAUUGGGAUUUGCACGAAAGCUUAGAUGAUUGCGGAGCAUUCGGGUGGAUUGAUAGCUUUAUCCGGCGAUGAUUUUGAAGAUAUAUUGCGAUAUGGUGUUGGUAACCAUUAAUUACCAUGCCUAAGAGCUACACAAUAGACUUUUGAUAGCAAGAGAACAAAAAAACAGCAUAAACUGCCACCCUUUGGCGGUCCUUUCAAGCUUACCGCAAGGCUAUGACGGUCUCCAAUUUCAAUAUUACGUAAUCUUAGUUUUAGAGUGUUUUAAGAGUCCAAAUCCUAGUCAAACUCCUUGUAUUUGGAUAGAUACAAAUAGGUUUUGGAUAGAAUUUGAAAAGGAGAUUCUUUUAGAGGGAAAUAACGUGAGAUUGGUUUUCUUUCUUGGACGCUUCACGUUUUCAACGCCAUUCUCCAUUAUUUUCCUCAAGUCUUUGUUUUCGACAUUCAAGUUUGCAAUUUCAUCAAUUAAUUCAAGUAUUAUUUUCUCUUCUCUA